rnacentral:rRNA from 1 species
UUCGAUGGAUAGGGGUUCUGAGAGGAAGGUCCCCCACAUUGGAACUGAGACACGGUCCAAACUCCUACGGGAGGCAGCAGUGAGGAAUAUUGGUCAAUGGGCGCUAGCCUGAACCAGCCAAGUAGCGUGAAGGAUGAAGGCUCUAUGGGUCGUAAACUUCUUUUAUAUAAGAAUAAAGUGCAGUAUGUAUACUGUUUUGUAUGUAUUAUAUGAAUAAGGAUCGGCUAACUCCGUGCCAGCAGCCGCGGUAAUACGGAGGAUCCGAGCGUUAUCCGGAUUUAUUGGGUUUAAAGGGAGCGUAGGUGGACUGGUAAGUCAGUUGUGAAAGUUUGCGGCUCAACCGUAAAAUUGCAGUUGAUACUGUCAGUCUUGAGUACAGUAGAGGUGGGCGGAAUUCGUGGUGUAGCGGUGAAAUGCUUAGAUAUCACGAAGAACUCCGAUUGCGAAGGCAGCUCACUGGACUGCAACUGACACUGAUGCUCGAAAGUGUGGGUAUCAAACAGGAUUAGAUACCCUGGUAGUCCACACAGUAAACGAUGAAUACUCGCUGUUUGCGAUAUACAGUAAGCGGCCAAGCGAAAGCAUUAAGUAUUCCACCUGGGGAGUACGCCGGCAACGGUGAAACUCAAAGGAAUUGACGGGGGCCCGCACAAGCGGAGGAACAUGUGGUUUAAUUCGAUGAUACGCGAGGAACCUUACCCGGGCUUAAAUUGCAGUGGAAUGAUGUGGAAACAUGUCAGUGAGCAAUCACCGCUGUGAAGGUGCUGCAUGGUUGUCGUCAGCUCGUGCCGUGAGGUGUCGGCUUAAGUGCCAUAACGAGCGCAACCCUUAUCUUUAGUUACUAACAGGUUAUGCUGAGGACUCUAGAGAGACUGCCGUCGUAAGAUGUGAGGAAGGUGGGGAUGACGUCAAAUCAGCACGGCCCUUACGUCCGGGGCUACACACGUGUUACAAUGGGGGGUACAGAAGGCAGCUAGCGGGUGACCGUAUGCUAAUCCCAAAAGCCUCUCUCAGUUCGGAUCGAAGUCUGCAACCCGACUUCGUGAAGCUGGAUUCGCUAGUAAUCGCGCAUCAGCCACGGCGCGGUGAAUACGUUCCCGGGCCUUGUACACACCGCCCGUCAAGCCAUGGGAGCCGGGGGUACCUGAAGUACGUAACCGCAAGGAUCGUCCUAGGGUAAAACUGGUGACUGGGGCUAAGUCGUAACAAGGUAGCCGUACCGGAAGGUGCGGCUGGAACACCUCCUUU